CAGAGUUCGACAAGUGGAUUCAAUCCAAGCAUUCAAUCAGGAUUUAUAUUUUUUCAUUUUUGCCACAUACAUUUGAAACUUGUUUAAUAAAGUGUAAAAAAGAAAACAGAAUGGAUUUGGGAAGGAGAAAAUCUGCAUGUUUCUUUAUUUUGGUUGCCUUUCAAUUGGCUUCCACCUCGAUGACCGUAUCAGCGGAAUCCAGCACCAGCAUGUCACCAACCACUGGUGCAUCAACAUCAGCCGUUGGUUCUACAACAACAGCUGAUGUUUCUACAACCACUGGAGGGUCAACAAACGCUGGAGGAUCAACAACCACUGGAGGACCAGCAACCCCCGGAGGUUCAUCCACAACUGCAGCACCAACAACCACUGGAGGAUCAACAACCACUGAAGGGUCAACAACCACAGAAGGGUCGACAGCUACAGGAGGAUCGACAGCCCCUGGAGGAUCCACAACAACCGGAGCAUCAUCAACAACGCAAGAAACUCCAGCUAUUACUACCAGUUCUCCAACAACUACUGCUGGAUUAUCAACUACCACAGGAGGUUCAACCAUCACAAUUGGAUCAACAAUUGGUGGAUCAACAACCAUAGGAGUAACAACAACCACUGGAGAAUCAACGACUGGAGAAUCAACAAUCACUGCAGGACCAACCAACUCUGGGGGUUCAACCAUCACUACUGGAUCAACAACUGGUGGAUCAACAACCACUGCAGGAUCCACAACAACCGGAACAUCAUCAACAACGCAAGAAACUCCAGCUAUUGCUACCAGUUCUCCAACAACUACUGCUGGAUUAUCAACUGCCACUGGAGGUUCAACCAUCACGAUUGGAUCAACAAUUGGUGGAUCAACAACCAUAGGAGUAACAACAACCACUGGAGAAUCAACGACUGGAGAAUCAACAAUCACUGGAGGACCAACCACCACUGGAGGUUCUACCAUCAUUACUGGAUCAACAACUGGUGGAUCAACAACUGGAGGAUCCACAUCAACCGGACCAUCAUCAACAACGCAAGAAACUCCAACUAUUACAACAACUACCAGUUCUCCAACAACUACUGCUGGAUUAUCAACCACCACUGGAGGUUCAACCAUCACUACUGGAUUAACAAUUGGUGGAUCAACAACAAUAGGAGGAACAAUCACCACUGGAGGUUCAACCAUCACUACUGGAUCAACAACUGGUGGAUCAAUAACAACUGGAGGAUCCAUAACAACUGGAGCAUCAUCAUCAACCACACGAGAAACUCAGACUAUUACAACAACUACCAGUUCUCCAACCACUACUGCUGGAUUAUCAACUACCACUGGAGGAUCAACAACCACUCGAGGAUCCACAACGACUACAGGACCAACAACAACUGCAGAAUCAACAACCACUGGAGGAUCAACCAUCACUACUGGAUCAACAAUUGGUGGAUCAACAACCAUAGUAGGCAUUAUCACCACUGGAAGUUCAACCAUCACUACUGGAUCAACAACUGGUGGAUCAAUAACAACUGGAGGAUUCACAACAACUGGAGCAUCAUCAUCAACAACACAAGAAACUCCAACUAUUACAACAACUACCAGUUCUCCAACCACUACUGCUGGAUUAUCAACUACCACUGGAGGAUCAACAACCACUCGAGGAUCCACAACGACUGCAGGACCAACAGCAACUGCAGAAUCAACAACCACUGGAGGAUCAACAACCACUGGAGGAUCAACAACCACUGGAGGAUCAACAACCACUGGAGGGUCAGCAACCACUGGAGUAUCAACGACCACUGCAGUACCAACAACCACUGGAGGAUCAACCAUCACUACUGGAUCAACAAUUGGUGGAUCAACAACCAUAGUAGGCAUUAUCACCACUGGAAGUUCAACCAUCACUACUGGAUCAACAACUGGUGGAUCAAUAACAACUGGAGGAUUCACAACAACUGGAGCAUCAUCAUCAACAACACAAGAAACUCCAACUAUUACAACAACUACCAGUUCUCCAACAACUACUGCUGGAUUAUCAACUACCACUGGAGGAUCAACAACCACUCGAGGAUCCACAACGACUGCAGGACCAACAGCAACUGCAGAAUCAACAACCACUGGAGGAUCAACAACCACUGGAGGAUCAACAACCACUGGAGGAUCAACAACCACUGGAGGGUCAGCAACCACUGCAGUACCAACAACCACUGGAGGAUCAACAACCACUGAAGUACCAACAACAACUGGAGAAUCAACAACCACUGGAGGAUCAACAACCACUGGAGGAUCAACAACCACUGGAGGGUCAACAACCACUGCAGUACCAACAACCACUGGAGGAUCAACAACCACUGAAGUACCAACAACCACUGGAGAAUCAACAACCACUGGAGGGUCAACCAUCCCUACUGAAUCAAUAACUGGUGGAUCAACAACAACUGGAGCAUCAUCAUCAACAACACAAGAAACUCCAACUAUUACAACAACUACCAGUUCUCCGACCACUACUGCUGGAUUAUCAACUACCACUGGAGGAUCAACAACCACUCGAGGAUCCACAACGACUGCAGGACCAACAGCAACUGCAGAAUCAACAACCACUGGAGGAUCAACAACCACUGGAGGAUCAACAACCACUGGAGGGUCAGCAACCACUGCAGUACCAACAACCACUGGAGGAUCAACAACCACUGAAGUACCAACAACAACUGGAGAAUCAACAACCACUGGAGGAUCAACAACCACUGGAGGAUCAACAACCACUGGAGGGUCAGCAACCACUGCAGUACCAACAACCACUGGAGGAUCAACAACCACUGAAGUACCAACAACCACUGGAGAAUCAACAACCACUGGAGGGUCAACCAUCCCUACUGAAUCAAUAGCUGGUGGAUCAACAACAACUGGAGCAUCAUCAUCAACAACACAAG
ensembl:lncRNA